rnacentral:lncRNA from 1 species
AGCUGCUUACUGUUACACCACAUCAUAAGGUUCAGUCAACGAAGACUCCUGAAACCAGAGAUGCAUAAUAAGUUGGUCAUCAGACAUGCAAGAACUGAAUGUCUUGUUUAGGGCCUGUAUAGAUACACUCAAAAUCCCAAAGUUUACAAGAUUCUCCAUCACAUCAAAUCUUGCGGUACAUGUAUGGAGCAUUAAACAUAGAUUAAAAAAUAACUAAUUACACAGUUUACCUAUAAAUCGCGAGACGAAUCUUUUAAGCCUAGUUAGUCCAUGAUUGAACAAUAUUUGUCAAAUACAAACGAAAAUGUUAUAGUGUCAAAAUUAAAAAAAAUUGCAUCUAAAAAAUUUCAAAAUUCUCCGUCACAUCGAAUCUUUGUACGCAUGUAUAGAGCAUUAAAUAUAGAUAACAAAAAUAACUAAUUGCACAACUUAUUUGUAUUUGCAAGACGAAUCUUUUGAGCCUAAGAGCAACUCCAAGAGAGUUGAUAAAAAUGAAUGGCUAAAUUCAAGAUUUAGCCAACCUCAAAAAUAGAAAAUCAUGUAAAAAAACAAAAAUCUCCAACAGUCUUUCUAUACGGCAAAUCAUAUGGCUAGCGGGACAUGCAAGCUAUAUUUACCAUGCGAGAACUCCGGGAUAGAUGACUUGCUAUUUUAGCAAACUAAAUACAAUAGCUGCUCUCUUUUCUCUUUCAAAAUAACCAAAUAUAUAAUACAUAACAUGUACAGCUCUUCUCUUGGAGUUGCUCUAAUUAGUCUAUAAUUGAACAAUAAUUACUAAAUACAAAUAAAAAUGCUACAUUAGCCAAACUAAAAAAUUUCGUAAACUAAACAAGGCCCGAGAGCCAGACCAAAAGAAACCCACCCACGCCAGCUCUCCUUCUGUCCUAGCUCCUGCUGCUGUCCUCAACUCCUCUGCAGGCUCAACAGAAAAACACCCUAGGGCCUGCACCUCUUGGCUCUCAUGUAGAAGAAGCUACUUCUGUGGAAAAAAAAAAAGCCCAAAUCGCAUCGAAUAAGACUCGAAUUUAAGUGGCAUGACAUAAACCAACAUCCACAACCGCUCUAAACACAGUCGCUCUUACACACACACAAAAGGCGUUAGACAAAAAAAGCUUAGUUGCAUUGCCUUGGAUUAAUUAGGCCUUGUUUGAUUGCUCCUGUUUUUUUAAAACUCUCGUCACAUUAAAUGUUUGGACUCACGCACGAUAUACUAAUUAAUUCAUGAUUCGACACUAAUUGUCAAAUAAAAUAAAAAUGCUACACUACCUGUUAACUAUAUCCUCUCUAACCAAACACCCCCUAAGAUAGUAGGCUGUAGCCUUCAUUCAUGACAGAAGAACCAGUGCCAGUGUUGACCCUCUAACGCGGCAAGCUGGUGGCACGUUCCUGUCUAAUGCCGGCGCGGUAGUCCUUAUUGUUAUGGGCCAGUCGACAGCAUAAAGAGUGAACGUCUCAGUCAACAUGAGACAAACGAUAUGAACCUAUACACUCAAAAAAAAAUGAACCAUACACUCAUGAAAAUCGAGAACGAAAAUUUGUCAACCAUGAAAAAUACGUACUUUUUUUACAACAAAAUACAUACUUCUUUAAGAGAGCAUAUGUUGUAGAGAAAAUUCAGAAAAUAACGCACCCAAGGAAACUGGCCACAAGUAACCAAAAUUUCCUCCUAUACAAUUCCAACUUUGUUCCAAUCUGAUCGUGAUUGAAAAUCAGUCACCAAGCAUGACCCUCACGGUAAGAACUAACCAUGACCAUGCUUCUGAAAAAGCAUAACUGGAAGCGUCCGCCGUCCGGUGUAUAGGUUGGAAUUUGGACAAGUAGUCAUUGUGCAAAUCUGGACAUUAUGCACCUGCCUCCACACAAUCGUAAAUUUAACCACAGGAAAAACAAAGUCUUCUCUUCCAUAGAACUUUUAAGCAUGCGAAAAAAUCAGACUGCUAGAAGUGGAGCACCUUCAAACACUUGCAAACUUCCAUAAC